UACAGAGACCUCAAGCGUUAUCCGGAUUAAUUGGGCGUAAAGGGCAGGUAGGUGGUUUUAUUAGUCGGAUGUUAAAACCAGUCGCUCAACGACUGACGGGCAUUCGAAACGGUAAAACUCGAGAAUGUGAGAGAUCAGUGGAAUUCAUGGUGUAGUAGUGAAAUGCGUUGAUAUCAUGAAGAACACCCAAGGCGAAGGCAACUGAUAGGCACAUUUCUGACACUCAACUGCGAAAGCGUGGGUAGCGAAUGGG
rnacentral:rRNA from 1 species